AGAGUUUGAUCCUGGCUCAGGACGAACGCUGACGGUGUGCUUUAGACAUGCAAGUCGAACGAGAAAGCCCUUCGGGGUGAGUAAAGUGGCGAACGGGUGCGUAACACGUGGGUAAUCUACCCCUCGCAGAGGGAUAACCGGGGGAAACCCCGGCUAAUACCUCGUACGCUAUGAGGGCCGCAUGGUCCUCAUAGGAAAGGUAGCUUCGGCCAUCCGGCGAGGGAUGAGCCCGCGGUACAUUAGCUAGUUGGUAGGGUAACGGCCUACCAAGGCUACGAUGUAUAGCUGGUCUGAGAGGAUGAUCAGCCACACUGGGACUGAGACACGGCCCAGACUCCUACGGGAGGCAGCAGUCGGGAAUCUUGCACAAUGGGCGAAAGCCUGAUGCAGCAACACCGUGUGAGCGACGAAGGUCUUCGGAUCGUAAAGCUCUGUUGUUGGGGACGAAGGGCGAAGGGUUAAUAGCCCCUAGCCUGACGGUACCCUUCGAGGAAGCCCCGGCUAACUACGUGCCAGCAGCCGCGGUAAUACGUAGGGGGCGAGCGUUGUCCGGAAUUAUUGGGCGUGAAGAGCGUGUAGGCGGCCUGGUAAGUCUGCUGUGAAACCUUGGGGCUCAACCUCAAGCGUGCAGUGGAUACUGCUAGGCUAGAGGGAUGGUAGAGGCGAGUGGAAUUCCCGGUGUAGCGGUGAAAUGCGCAGAUAUCGGGGGGAACACCAGUAGCGAAGGCGGCUCGCUGGGCCAUUCCUGACGCUGAGACGCGAAAGCUAGGGGAGCGAACAGGAUAGAUACCCUGGUUGUCCUAGCCGUAAACGAUGAACACUAGGUGUGGGCGGAGUCUAAUCUGUCUGUGCCUGGGGAGUACGGCCGCAAGGCUAAAACUCAAAAAAAAUUGACGGGGGCCCGCACAGCAACGAAGCAUGUUGUUUAAUUCGUUGCAACGCGAAGAGCCUACCUGGACUUGACAUGGUGGUGCAAGCGCACGGAAACGUGUGACCUUCGAGGGUGCACCACAGAUGCUGCAUGGCUGUUGUCAGCUAGUAUCGUGAUAUGUUGGGUUAAGUCCAAAAACGAGCGCAACCCCUGUGAUGUGUAUCCAGCAUUAAGUUGGGGACUCACAUCAGACGGCCGGUGACAAACCGGAGGAAGGUGGGGAUGACGUCAAGUCUUCCUGGCUCUUCCGUCCAGGGCUGGCAACGUGCUACAAUGGCGCAUACAAAGGGAAGCAAGACCGCGAGGUGGAGCGAAUCUCAUCAAAGUGCGUCUAAGUUCGGAUCGCAGUCUGCAACUCGACUGCGUGAAGGCGGAGUUGCUAGUAAUCGCGGAUCAGAACGCCGCGGUGAAUACGUUCCCGGGCCUUGUACACACCGCCCGUCACACCACGGGAGUAGGCAAUACCCGAUGUAGGCGCAGCCAACCGGCUUGUCCGGAGGCGGUCUGCGAAGGUAGGGUCUGCGACUGGGGUG
rnacentral:rRNA from 1 species